rnacentral:rRNA from 1 species
CAGCCGCCACGGUAAUACAGAGGGUGCGAGCGUUAAUCGGAUUUACUGGGCGUAAAGCGUGCGUAGGCGGCUUCUUAAGUCGGAUGUGAAAUCCCUGAGCUUAACUUAGGAAUUGCAUUCGAUACUGGGAAGCUAGAGUAUGGGAGAGGAUGGUAGAAUUCCAGGUGUAGCGGUAAAAUGCGUAGAGAUCUGGAGGAAUACCGAUGGCGAAGGCAGCCAUCUGGCCUAAUACUGACGCUGAGGUACGAAAGCAUGGGGAGCAAACAGGAUUAGAUACCCCUGUAGUCCCUGUCUCUUAUAC